rnacentral:piRNA from 1 species
UUAUGGCAACUGGAGAAACACU